GAGUUAGUCGGUCCUUAAAAUGAUAGUAAAAACUUACAAUUGAUAGGAACUUACCAGUUGCAUACAUUUUAAAUGUGUAAAAAUUUAUUAUUUUAUGUAUUUUUAAUGGUUAAAAUAUCAAGUAAUUAUAAAUUUCAGGAAAAAUUGUAACAUAAUUGACCGUACCUAAACCAACACAGGUGAACUUGUUGAAAAUACAAAGGUGAAUGAGUGAAUUAAAUUGAAGGAACUCGGCAAAUUAGCUCUGUAAGUUCGCGAUAAAGAGUACCCGCUAAUAUUUUUUAUUAAGCUGGUGUCACAAAAUAGAAAGCAACGACUGGUUAUCAAAACCACAGGACUCUGCAAAUUAACUAAUAAGAUGUAUAGAGUCUGACACCUGCCCGGUGCUUGAAGGUGAUAAAUGUAAGUUAAUGCUUAUAUUAUAAUCCCAAGUAAACGGCGGUUCUAACUAUAAGAAUCCUUAGGUAGCGAAAUUCCUUGACGGGUAAAUUCCGUCCUGCAUGAAUGGUGUCACGAUUGCUUUGCUGUCUCCAAUUUAACCUCAGUGAAAUUACAUAGCCUAUGAAAAUGUGGGUAACCUGCAGUAAGACGGAAAGACCCUAGAUCCUUUACUUAAAUUUUAUAUUGUAAGAAUAAAUAUUUUAUGUAGAAUAAAUGGGAGUAGUUAAAACGUAAGUGAAAUACCAUUUUUUAUAUUAUGUUCUUUCUAAAUUUAUUAUAAAUAUAAAAAUAGUAUAAAAUAGAAAGUUUACUUGGGACGAGUACCUCCUAAAGUGUAACGGAGGUGUACAAAGAUAAAUUACAAUUAUUUGUAAAAUAAUUAAGCGUGCAAUGGCAAUAAAUUUAUUUGACAGUUAGAUUGAUAAAUCGUACUGAGACGCAAGUCGGUCAUAGUGAUCCGGUAUUAAUGUGUGGAAAUUAUACCGCUCAACAAAUAAAAGGAACUCUAGGGAUAACAGAUUCAUCAUGGUUGAGAGUUCUUAUUGAUGCCAUGGUUUGAUACCUCGAUGUCGACUCAUCUUAUCCUGGAAUUGAAAAAGAUUCCAAGGGUCUAGUUGUUCGCUAGUGAAGAAGGUACGUGAGUUGGGUUCAGAACGUCGCGAGACAGUUCGGUCCCUAUCUGCUGCAGGUAAGAAAAAAAAAAGAAACUAUUUUUAGUACGAGAGGACCAAAAUAUUUUAACCACUAGUGUAUUGGUUGUUAUUACCAUUAGCAAGCCAAGUAGCCAUGUUAAUAACGUUUAUGUACUGAAAGAAUUAAUAGUACGAAAACGCUUCUUAUUUUUUUCAAGAAUAUUCUAAAAGACUAUUAGAUAGAUCGGUUUGGCAUAUAUUUAGUAAUAAAUUUAUUGGACAAAUACGAAUAUUAUUCAA
rnacentral:rRNA from 1 species